rnacentral:rRNA from 1 species
UGGGGAAUAUUGGACAAUGGGCGCAAGCCUGAUCCAGCAAUGCCGCGUGUGUGAAGAAGGCCUUCGGGUUGUAAAGCACUUUUAUCAGGAGCGAAACGCUGUCGGCUAAUACCCGGCGGAACUGACGGUACCUGAGGAAUAAGCACCGGCUAACUUCGUGCCAGCAGCCGCGGUAAUACGAAGGGUGCAAGCGUUAAUCGGAAUUACUGGGCGUAAAGCGUGCGUAGGCGGUUUCUUAAGUCUGCUGUGAAAUCCCCGGGCUCAACCUGGGAAUGGCAGUGGAUACUGGGAGGCUAGAGUGUGUCAGAGGGUGGUGGAAUUCCCGGUGUAGCGGUGAAAUGCGUAGAGAUCGGGAGGAACAUCAGUGGCGAAGGCGGCCACCUGGGACAACACUGACGCUGAGGCACGAAAGCGUGGGGGAGCAAACAGGAUUAGAUACCCUGGUAGUCCACGCCCUAAACGAUGCGAACUGGAUGUUGGUCUCAACUCGGAGAUCAGUGUCGAAGCUAACGCGUUAAGUUCGCCGCCUGGGGAGUACGGUCGCAAGACUGAAACUCAAAGGAAUUGACGGGGUCAUAGCUGUUUCCUG